UUAAACGACUCUCGGCAACGGAUAUCUCGGCUCUCGCAUCGAUGAAGAACGUAGCGAAAUGCGAUACUUGGUGUGAAUUGCAGAAUCCCGUGAACCAUCGAGUCUUUGAACGCAAGUUGCGCCCAAAGCCUUCGGGCCGAGGGCACGUCUGCCUGGGCGUCACGC
rnacentral:rRNA from 1 species